rnacentral:rRNA from 1 species
UUUGACCUCAGUCAGAGAC